rnacentral:rRNA from 1 species
AUUGAACGCUGGCGGAAUGCUUUACACAUGCAAGUCGAACGGCAGCACGGACUUCGGUCUGGUGGCGAGUGGCGAACGGGUGAGUAACAUAUCGGAACGUAUCCAAUAAUGGGGGAUAACUAAUCGAAAGGUUGGCUAAUACCGCAUACGCCCUACGGGGGAAAGCAGGGGAUCUUCGGACCUUGCGUUAAUGGAGCGGCUGAUAUCUGAUCAGCUAGUUGGUGAGGUAAAGGCUCACCAAGGCGACGAUCAGUAGCUGGUCUGAGAGGACGACCAGCCACACUGGAGCUGGGACACGGUCCAGACUCCUACGGGAGGCAGCAGUGGGGAAUUUUGGACAAUGGGCGCAAGCCUGAUCCAGCCAUUCCGCGUGAGUGAAGAAGGCCUUCGGGUUGUAAAGCUCUUUCGCAAGGGAAGAAAACUUACUUUCUAAUAAAGAGUGAGGUUGACGGUACCUUGAUAAGAAGCACCGGCUAACUACGUGCCAGCCGCCGCCGUAA